rnacentral:hammerhead_ribozyme from 1 species
ACCAGCUGACGAGUCCCCGAUAGGACGAAACGCGUGUCCUGGAU